rnacentral:rRNA from 1 species
AGAGUUUGAUCCUGGCUCAGGAUGAACGCUAGCGGCAGGCUUAACACAUGCAAGUCGAGGGGCAGCGGGGGACGCGCUUGCGCGUCCCGCCGGCGACCGGCGCACGGGUGAGUAACACGUAUGCAACCUGCCCCCGCCAGGGGUACAACCCUCCGAAAGGGGGGCUGAUACCGCGUACAUCCCCUGGGGGCAUCCCCGGGGGAGGAAAGCCCUUUUGGGCGGGCGGGGAUGGGCAUGCGGCGCAUUAGGAAGACGGCGGUGUGACGGACCACCGUUCCGACGAUGCGUAGGGGUUCUGAGAGGAAGGCCCCCCACACUGGUACUGAGACACGGACCAGACUCCUACGGGAGGCAGCAGUGAGGAAUAUUGGUCAAUGGCCGGAAGGCUGAACCAGCCAAGCCGCGUGAGGGAGGAAGGCGCAGAGCGUCGCAGACCUCUUUUGCCGGGGGACAAAAGGCCGGACUCGUCCGGUCCUGAGGGUACCCGGAGAAAAAGCAUCGGCUAACUCCGUGCCAGCAGCCGCGGUAAUACGGAGGAUGCGAGCGUUAUCCGGAUUCAUUGGGUUUAAAGGGUGCGCAGGCGGGCCUUUAAGCCGGCGGUGAAAUCGCGGGGCUCAACCCCGCCGAGCCGUCGGAACUGGGGGCCUUGAGUGCGGCGGAGGCAUGCGGAAUGCGCGGUGUAGCGGUGAAAUGCAUAGAUAUCGCGCAGAACCCCGAUUGCGAAGGCAGCGUGCCGUGCCGCCACUGACGCUGAGGCACGAAAGCGCGGGAUCGAACAGGAUUAGAUACCCUGGUAGUCCGCGCCGUAAACGAUGGAUGCUGGGUGUCCGGGGCGUUCAGGCCCUGGGUGCCGGAGCGAAAGCGGUAAGCAUCCCACCUGGGGAGUACGCCGGCAACGGUGAAACUCAAAGGAAUUGACGGGGGCCCGCACAAGCGGAGGAACAUGUGGUUUAAUUCGAUGAUACGCGAGGAACCUUACCCGGGCUCAAACGGGGGGCGCGGGCGGCAGAGACGCCGCCGUCCUUAUGGACGUCCCCCGAGGUGCUGCAUGGUUGUCGUCAGCUCGUGCCGUGAGGUGUCGGAUUAAGUUCCAUAACGAGCGCAACCCCCGCGCGCAGUUGCUAACGGGUUAAGCCGAGGACUCUGCGCGGACUGCCGGCGCAAGCCGCGAGGAAGGCGGGGACGACGUCAAAUCAGCACGGCCCUUACGUCCGGGGCGACACACGUGUUACAAUGGGGGGUACAGCGGGAAGCCAGGCGGCGACGCCGAGCGGAACCCGAAAGCCCCUCCCAGUUCGGAUCGGAGCCUGCAACCCGGCUCCGUGAAGCUGGAUUCGCUAGUAAUCGCGCAUCAGCCAUGGCGCGGUGAAUACGUUCCGGGCCUUGUACACACCGCCCGUCAAGCCAUGGGAGCCGGGGGCGCCUGAAGUGCGGUACCGCGAGGGCCGCCCAAGGGCGAGACCGGUGACUGGGGCUAAGUCGUAACAAGGUAGCCGUA